rnacentral:lncRNA from 1 species
AGUCCAAAUUCUAACUCUUGUGAAACUGCAGACACAACCCUCUGAGGGAAGCGGUGGUUUUGUUUCUGGUUGUUCUGUAAUUGGUUUUGGGAUUUGGAGCAAGAGAAGCCACUAAUACAAACACUGAAACAUAAUAAUUCUGGUUUCUUGGGAUAUAGGCAUAAUCACGUAACAAGAUUUUCGUAUUACUGGGGACUAGGAAAACAUUUGGCUUAUUGCGUGACAAUCAGAUACUUGGUGAAAGAAGACACAUGAUUAUCUACUAAUAUACUAUGAUCUGUCGUGAUCUGCUGUAUAUCAUAGGAUUCAAAGAAGAAGGAGGAAGAGAUGGAGAAAGAGAAGAUGAACCCAGUCCUCAAGCAGUUGCCACCAAGUAGGAGGCUUGUUGAGACAUUGCAUGAGCAGAGGAAGAAGCUUCCUUUCUAAGGGCAGCAAGAUCUCUCAUGGUGGCCGGUCUCCCUCAUCCUUCUGGCUCAGCAAGGUUUGGCUGCCAUGUGGAGGGAGGAGCAGUCCAGUUCUGUGGCGUAGUAAGAGGCAAGCAGUCUUCAGAUGGAUGCUGGCCUUCUGCACAUUGCUGGACUUCAGUGGAAGGAGGCUUGUAAUCAGGAGUAACUACUGUACUCUCCAUGCCUUCCUGAGCUCCCAGGCAACCGUCUGA